rnacentral:lncRNA from 1 species
CCCCUCUACUCUCUGUAUCUCCACUGUCUCUCUCUUUAUCUUAGACUUUCUGUUGCAUCUCUAUCUGUUGUCCAUGUCUGCUGUGACUCUGAUCCUUCCCGUUCAUCUCGUACAUCGAGCUCUUCUGCUGUUUUCGCCAGUAACACCACGCCCCGAUGGUGGCUGCCACGGCAACCGCGCACAUAGCAACCACAAUGGCUGCAACCGUGGAACCCCUGCCGGAGGAGGGAGGAGGGGGAGGAGGGCAGUCCUCCUCACCCCCAGUACACCCUGUCUCCCCCGUCUCACCUUCGCUCUCCUCCUCCUCACCCUCCAUCUCCCCGCUGUGUCGAGUCAGGUUGUGCUGGGCCGAACGUUCCUCCUCGUCGAUGACGUCAUCAGUCCACGCUGUGGGUGCGGGGCCGUGCUCCAGGAAAGGGUGCACGUGAUCCGUGGUUUCCCAGGAGCCUGUGGGAGAAGGCCUGGCUGUGUUGCCGGAGGCAUCGUCAUCCAGUGAUGAUGUCAGAGAGGGGGUGGCGUAGUCGGCUGAAUGUGAAUCUGAGGCUUCGGGGGAGAGAGGUAGGUCGGGUGAGGCUGUGGCCUCGGGGGAGAGAGGUAGGUCGGGUGAGGCUGUGGCUUCGGGGGAGAGAGGUAGGUCGGGUGAGGCUGUGGCUUCGGGGGAGAGAGGUAGGUCGGGUGAGGCUGUGGCUUCGGGGGAGAGAGGUAGGUCGGGUGAGGCUGUGGCCUCGGGGGAGAGAGGUAGGUCGGGUGAGGCUGUG